UACGUAGGGGGCAAGCGUUAUCCGGAAUUACUGGGUGUAAAGGGUGAGUAGGCGGCAUGGUAAGCCAGAUGUGAAAGCCUUGGGCUUAACCCGAGGAUUGCAUUUGGAACUAUCAAGCUAGAGUACAGGAGAGGAAAGCGGAAUUCCUAGUGUAGCGGUGAAACGCGUAGAUGUUAGGAAGAACACCAGUGGCGAAGGCGGCUUUCUGGACUGAAACUGACGCUGAGGCACGAAAGCGUGGGGAGCGAACAGG
rnacentral:rRNA from 1 species